rnacentral:misc_RNA from 1 species
AUUCAACUCACAGAAUCCAAUGCGUAAAAAAUGUAGAAACAUUACAACUGAACCAAAUUUUUGAAGACGUAAGUACCAAGAAUGAACCAACCAACCAGGAAGAAAGUGAAGAAUGCCAAGAAGGUAAGGAACGUAGUACCCCCCAGUGCGAGUCCAAUACUGAAUACCACAACAAAUGGUAAGAACGUCCGGAUAAAAGCUCCUUUACUGACCCACCGACCCUUGAGAAAGAUCAGAGCUGCAAGGUUCACCACAUUCCAUCCACCUGUUCGAAACUCAAGUCUGUUCAGAUUAUUAGCCACAAAGGAAUGACAAUUGCAAGUCAAGAGAUUGUAGGAUCGAUGUUGAAACUCUUGAGUGCUCCUCCGCAAUGCAUCAUCCCAUGUUGAAAUUUCUGUGCUAUGAUCAACUUCCCUCAAUUCUUCUUCACUUCUAUGAGUGGAAAUGCAACACUUAUCUCUGUUGAUUUGAAGAU